rnacentral:misc_RNA from 1 species
AACGCACAUUGCGCCCGCCAGUAUUCUGGCGGGCAUGCCUGUUCGAGCGUCAUUUCAACCCUCAAGCCCCGGCUUGGUGUUGGGGAUCGGCACAAGGACGCCCCCGGGCGACCCGCCGUCCCCUAAAUUCAGUGGCGGUCCCGCCGCAGCCACCUCUGCGUAGUAGUUUUCUCCUCGCAAGGGCAGCUCGACGACGACCACGCCGUAAAACCCCCAACUUCUGAAAGGUUGACCUCGAAUCAGGUAGGAAUACCCGCUGAACUUAA